CCUGGCCCUUGAUUCUCUAGUACCCUGGAGCCAAUGUUCCUACUCCACUCAGAUCAAAUAAAGCUCCCUGGAGUAAGAGCAACAGGGCUGAUUUUUCCCCCCGAAGAGACCUCCUCCUGUGAGCAGACCUGUGCCCCAAGGAUAGCAGUAGUUGCAGUGGAAUUGGAUAGUGAGCUUCAAUUUGGGGCUGGAUGGAGUUAGGAAAGGAUCUAGGGAGUCUCCUGUAGGUUGUGGGCACAUGAUGUCAUGGGUUCUCCGUGAUGAGAGCCGAAUCACCUGCUUUGCCCAAACACUCACUACUAGUCUCUAUCUGAACUUCCUAUGAUGGUAACCUGUUGUCCUGUGUCCAGCAGGUGGCUCUAUGGUUCCCAUCAUGAAUGCAAGAAUGACGUCACACAUGUAGAUAAAGUUCUGGGAUUGUGGGUCAGAAUCUGGGCACCUGGAAUGGCUGUGUCUGUGGGGAGGGCAGAUCUGUAGCACGCAGCACCAAAGGGUCUCUCUCCUCUCGGGUCAUGGAAUGGAAGUUUUGUUUCCACCUUUGUCCCCAGCGGGAUCUGGAAAAUGAAAGGCUAUGCCGCCAUGCCCCUGGGGGUAUAAAGCAGGUGAUGUGUGUUGCUGUAUAGCAUACGGAGAAGCGGUUUGUUGCAAAGUGUGCCCCCAGGAGGUUAAAAUUGUAACACAGUUGCUCCUGUCCUUGUCUGGAACAAUAAUGCCGGCUUUAAGGAUGUUCCUAACACAGUACUGGCUUUGUGCUUGUUUGGGUUUCCAGAGGCAAUGCCAGUGGCCAUAUGUGGAUGGAACUGCAGGCUCCUUUUCUCAGAGGCUCUUCCAGGUCAGUAGCUGGAGGAACCAUGUUGCCUAGGCACUAAGGCCAGAUGCCCAGAGAAGGUGCUGACAUGAAUGAGGCAGAGAGCCUGUUGCUGGGGCUUAGGCUAAUUGUACCUGGCAGCUCGUCGGUCCCGCCUUCGGUUCUGCUGGCCCUAGGAAGGCCGAUCACGUUUCUGUCCUCUGACUAAGCUGCAAUGUGUCUUCUUUGGAGGCCUGACGUGUUUUGCUCCCAUGGAAUCCCAGUGGCUUACGUUUUUGGCAGCUGGGGUACACCUGAUCUGGUUUGAGAUUGUCUCCUGCUAGCUAAGACACUGACCCAUAAAAUAUAAUAAAUCUGACCUGCUGACACACAGAGACAGCCUCAUGAGUCACUUCACACGUGACUGUGUCAAAAACACCAGAGAGAAUUAGUCUAAUAGAAGAAAUCCUUCUGAGGGUUGAGCCUGUGGUCUCUGGGACACCCACCUGUGGGCAGAGCGUCAUGGUGAAGGGAAGACCAGAAGAGAAGAGAGCUGUUUACUUCAUGGCAUAUGGGAGCAGAGAAAGCAGGGCACUCCCAGUCACCCCAGCCCCCAUCGCCUGCCAAUUUCAUCACUAAUUGCCUGAUAGGCAUUGAGGCUCAUGUUUGAUACGCAUUGUCACCCUGUCCUCCAUCGGCAGCUCUGGGAGAUGGCACUGUCCCCGCCUCCUUAAUAUAAGCACUGGGCUAAGCACCCGCUGAAUAUCGCUUCUUUUAGUUUUUGAGGGAGGACCCCCUCUUGAACCCAUUUUACAGGCAAGUGAACUGAGGUUCAGCCAGGUUUCCAAGACCUUCCAGGAGUCAGAAUUCUGAGCUAGAGCCGAGCCUUUGACUGCUCUGACCUCGCUUAUGGGACCUUUGAGGGCACAGGCUAGCCUCGUGAUACAUCCCAGGCCUGCUCAGCCCACAAGGAGCCUUCUGAUCUACUUCCAGGACCUUUCAGACCAUAGAAAGGCAGACUAAACAUCUCCCAGUGCCCUUGAAAGCAACAGCGUCAAUAAAUCCAUGCACCAGGGAUGGAGAUCUGUAGUCACUGGAUGCUUGGUGGCCUCACGAUGCCAAGUCAGAAGCUGAGUUCUUCAGGCAGAGGCACGAGUACCAUUCAUUAUUUAGCACACCAGGUUUGUCAUUGGUUGGCUUAUUCUCCAGUCCCACCUGCUCUGGCAUCAUCAUGUCUCUGACUGUUUUUUCUAAAGAACCAAGACAGACAGGCUACCUCAGGGGCUUGGGAUGAAGGAGAAUACCCAUUUUGGAGGUAGAAAGGGUGAGGUCAGGAGAAAUGCCUUGGAGAGGGGGGCUGAAGUGUGGUUUCUACCUGACUUGAAGCUCAGACUGGAGAUCCAGUGUGGAUAGACAGCCCCAGACUGGCUAAGAUUCUCCUGGGACCUCUUCUGCCACUGGUGACCUCAUCUGGGCAGUGGAACUGUGCGCACCUGUAGUUAAGUGUCCUACCUGUAGUGGUAGGUGCCCGCUUGGACCCACUGGUCCUUCCUAACAAACAAGCAGGAUUUGUGUUUUGUGCCCAGCCUCUGCAGACCUAGGCUACGGGGUCCUAGCUAUUCUGAGUCCUGUCCCCAGUUUCCUAGCUUUGUAGCAUACCCCAUCCCCAUCUUUAGAGCAUUCAUUACAGGAGAUUCGGAGGAACUGUAUUCUCGUUACAAAGGAGGCAUCUAUGGCUGGAGCUGCGGCAGAAGCCUUGUCAAAAUGUUGAUCAAGAACGCCGGAGCAAGCUGCCAAGCUUCCUUGGUCAAAAUUCCCUCUUUGAAAGACAAAGAAAGGGAAGCUAGUAAGACAGAGGUCUGGAAGCCGAGGACGUUAACAGAUAAAAGCAUGUUCCUGAGCCUUUCCUUCAGAGGCCAACGGUCCUGAUAGUUCUGGGUGUUUUCCAGAGCCAGACUCCAUUCUUUCCAUCUUGUUCUCUCUUCCUGUGUCAAAAGAAAGCGCUGCACCCAUUUAAAAGGUUACAAGGCAGAAGCGAGAAAGCCCUGCUCAGUCUCUCAUAGUUCACCCUCCUCUCUAAGUGUUCAACAUUGUUUCCUUUCAGAAAUGGCCGGCCGCCCUGCCCCCAUCAGCACUGGGCACUGUUCAUGCUCCCUCAGUAGAAUGGCAGGACUGUCAUGGAUCCUGCCUGAACUCCAGGGGAUGGGGUAAACCAGGGGUAUCCGGGCUGAAAUUCUGCACUGGGGACUUGUGGCCUGUUCUUCUUCUGACCCAGAGACGCCUGCUGCAGUGUUGAAAUCCCGGACCAUGUUGAAGGGUGAUUUGUGAUUAUGGGUGAGGGCUAUGAAUGGCCAGCACCCUGGGACCUGUGGAGGCGGUGGUCAGAGCUCCAAGCCUCUCUCACAUCCACAUCCUAUGUGUAUGGCCUCAGAGCUCCUCAGGAACCAGGACGUCGGGCCCAACAGAAUGAUGAGCAGGGACAGAAAGACUUACGAAGAAGUGCUCCAAUCUUCCCUCCCUGACAAGUCACAGGUUCCCAGUGGUGAACACGGCCGUGCUUUUCCCAACGAAGGUGAUUUUCAUAUAACUUCUUUCUGCUUCCUUAAUGUGUUUGUUUGGUUUUCCCCACUGAGCCAAACCAUUUUAACUCAAAUCUUUUAAAGAAUUAUUUAUUUAUUUUAUGCGUGUGAGCACACUGUUGCUGUCCUCAGACACGCCAGAGGAGGGCACCGGAUCCCAUCACAGAUGGUUGCGAGCCACCCUGUGGUUGCUGGGAAUUGAACUCAGGACCUCUGGAAGAGCAGACAGUGUUCUUAGCCACUGAGCCAUCUCUCCAGCCCUUAACUCAAUUUUGUUGUCUAAAAGUCUCUCCAUGGAAACUGGCUGCGUCCUUCCAGUCCUUGCUUUCUUCUUAUCUUCUUCCAUGUUCAUCAAAUCAAAUCUCCCUCUUCCUUCUCCGUGAUGAUGCUCUACUGGAUACAGGAUCAAUGGUCCAGUAUGUACUGGUCUUGUACAGACAAAUCUACUGGCUAUGACUCCAAUCCUUGAUGCUUUCAACUGGACCCUGUAUUUCAAUACAUCCUCAAAGGGCCCCAAACAAAAUCGUGUCCUCAGAUGCUUAGAAGCGAGGACCUGAGUUCGAUUCCUGGCACCUAUCUAAAAAAAAAAGUUGACUGUAUUGGGAUGUGCCUGCCGUCCUGGGGGAGGAGGCAGAGCUAGGAGGAUCCCUAGAGCUCACUGGCUAGCUGGCCCAGCUGUGUCAGUGAACCCCAGGUCUUAGUAAGAGACUGUCUCAAAACAAAGGCAGGCAGGAGUUGGGGAAGGCACCUGAUAUCAACCUCUAGCCUUUACACAUGCAUACCCCUGCACAAGUACCCACACACACGUAUACACAUAAAUGCACACACUCGAGAAGCUAUAAGACAAGCUACAAAAUGGUCUCAAUAGGUCCCUCCUGUACUUAGGGAUUGACACCCACCUUAUCAGAUCAAAGUGUCUACCAGCAUCCAAGAUGAGUGGAUAGCUUUGGUAUGAGUUUCGUGAAGGGUGUCAUGGUUACCUUUGGGUCACUGUGACCUAUAUUCCUGACAGGGACAAGAAAGGGAGGGGAGGUGUAUUUUGGCUCACAGUCUCAGGGGGAUUUCCAUCCCACACAGUGGCAAAGACAGAGGCUAUUUGUGUCAUUAUGGGACAGAGAGCAUAGUGAGCUGGGAACUGAGGACCAGGCUAACAUUUAGGCCCCACUUCCCAAAGCUUCCACGGGGUUCCCAGAAUGGUGCCACCAGCUGGGGACAUGGGGACAACAUGUUCAGACAUCCGAGGUUGUAGGUCACAGUUCUCACCAGACAGCAAAGUGCCGACACCCAUUGUGCUUGAGUUGAACGCUGAGGACCCAGCCUCAUGUCUCUCAUGCAGGAGAUGCCUGGUAAAUGUUUCUUUUACUAGGGCUGGUUCUCUGGGAGCCAUGAGGAUGCCCCAGCAGGCUGGGUCUCUAUCCGUCUCUAACACCAUUUCAGUCUUUGAGCCCCACAUCUUCAGGACAAGUCUCUCUCCCGCCUUCUCUGAAAAUCUGCAACAGCCGUACAGGCAGCAGCCUGGAGGGUCCAAGAUGUGCCCCCCUCCCAAUACCCCUUCUUUUGGCACUCUCUCCAGACAGGUUUUCAUUUCAGGGAGGGCUGAGCCUGCUCUCUCCAGGUUUUACAAGCUGAUAGAACAGAACUGUCAAAUGCUCUUUAUGGGAGAAGAAACAGGAAGAUGGCUUGUUUUGCAGACAGCGGGUUACUGGGUAAUUACAUUUUUAUAGAGCUGUUGCAGGACGAAUCGCGGGACUGCUGUCUCCUUUGAUGCUAAAAGAUGCCGGCCCAUAAAGAUCAGAACCGGGGAAGGUGACGGGUCAGGGACACAGCUGCCCUUUAGGGGUCAGCUUCUGCCUGGAACAGCCUCUCCAGGUGCCCCUUUCAAGAAAUGCCCUCCUUUCCCUGUGCCUGCGGUUAGAGUCCUGCUCACACCCAGCGCUCUACCCUUCUCCCACUGCAGAUGAAAUGGGAGACAGGAGGAGGAGUAACAGCAGACCCAUGCUCUAGAGAGCAUCAGUGAAGUAACACUCAUUCAGUGCCCUGUCUCUGCUCAGCCGGCCAUUUACUCAUUCAUUCACACACGCAUCUGCUCACCCAGCCAUGUGUCCAUACACACACACACACAUCUGCCCAUGCGCUCCUCCAUGCACAAUCCACUCAUGUGUCCAUCCACGCACACAUCUGCCCAGGCACUCCUCCACCCAGCUAUCUGUACAUCCGUUCACGCAUACAUGAGCUCCUCCAUGUCCGAGUCUGCCCGAGUUCCUCCACCCACGCAUCCACUCCUGCGUUCCUCCACGCAGGCAUCUGCCCACGCUGUCCUCCAUGCAGGCAUCCCCCCAUGUGUCCAUCCAUGCACACAUCAGUCCAUGCGGUCUUUCACGCACACUUCCGCUCAUGAGCUACUCCACGCAUGCGUCUGCCCGAGUUCUUCCACCCACACAUCCGCCCAUGCUGUCUUCCAGGCACACUUCCGCUCAUGCGCUCUUCUAUGCACAUCCGUUCCUGCGUUCUUCCACCCCGCCCCUGCGUUCCUUCACCCCGCCCCUGUAUCCUUGCAUCCACGCUGUCAUUCACGCAUUUGCUAAUCUUUUCAUUUGCUUACCCACGUACUCAUUUAUUCUUUCAAGCGGUGAUUCAUUCAUUCACCCACUCCUUUGUGAUAUAUUUAAGUUCUCAGUGAGGAGUGAAGACUGGGCGUAUUUACCUUCGAGGUCGUUCAGCACAUCUGAGGUCAAGACUCUGCCCUGUUUCACCCAACGCAACAAUGUUGGACACAACAGAAGCAACUGGAAGCUGAACCGCCCUGGUUGACCUGGGGAACUGAAUGUAGCCAGGACCAGCAGAGGAGGGCAUGGUGGGAGGUAUGUGUGUGGUGAGGGUGUUAGAGAGCUCUGAAUGAGCCACGUUAUGUAGGCCAAGGGUCGUGGUGAUGGAGAGGUAUCUGGGGAGAGGACAUUCCAGAAUUAAGGGAAGGUGCCCCUGCACAGGCCCCAUGGAAGAAAGGACCCGAAGCUCUUGGCAGUUUGUGGCUCUGCGCUGGGCCGUCACCAGGCAACCUCUGCCCAACCUCCUCCAGCUUUGCUUCAGGGACCUUCUCUGCAGAGACAAGGCCUCAGGGCAUCUCCCCACCUCAGCCAAACUGAGAGCACUGACCUGGAGGUCCAGGUCUUGGGAAUCCAGGGCUCAUGACUUUCUGUGAGACACAGAGUUUACAACCAGUUUUCCCUGUCGUUACCUGUAGGAGUGGGUCCCACACAUGAGGCAGGGACCCACAAGGCAGGCGAUGGGUUCGGUCACAGCUUUCCCCAUCGUGGCUUCUAAGGAACUGGUGCUCUGAGGUGUCUUGAUGGCUGGCAGCAGCCAUGACCCCUAGCUCAGGGGGUGAUACAGGUUCCUGGAAACAGGUCCAGAAUAUCUCUGCUUGCGCUCUGUCCCUGACUACCAAGCUUUUCUUAGGCCGUGCCCAGUGUCCGACACGCAUUCCCCCAGCCUUCUGAGGGAGCAGAUCGUUGCAGUUCUUUGAAGACAUACAGAUAUGUCCUGGGAGGUGGUCACUGGUGCAGGGGUGAAGAGACAAUAGGUCAGACCCUCUGCCCUGUGGAUGCAAGGGCUGUAGGAUCCAGGAUUUGCUGCAGCUGAGAUGAGGAGUGGAUGGGGAGGUGUGGGCUGAAGACUGGCCAGGGCUGGUCCAUGCUCUGAAAGGGUUGACAGUUACAGAAGUCCACACGCAGCUGUUGGUCUCAUCUCCACGAGAAGCCACUUGCAUCUGAUUGCAUUUCCUGGACACCGAGAUAGAGGCGCUAGGAGCUAGAGUGGAUUGUUUGAAGUCACACAGUGAGUGUGGCACUGAACCAGGAGGAUUCCGUUACCAGCCAGUGGUUGAAUGGCACCAACCUUGAGGAGGACCCUUGCAUUCCAGAGCUGGGCAGAGAGACCUGUUGAGUUUCCUCAGAUCUGUCAGGAAAACACCAGGUUCGCUUGCUGCCCCCGGUGAGAGAAGUCGCCAGCAAGCCGUACUGUGAGUACAUGGGCUGUAAACCUGGCUUCUGCCUUCUGUCAGAUCCACGGAGGGCAAACGAACGCCUACUCACUCAGUUUCACCAAAUGGCUGAGGCUCAGGAGAACUGUCGCAGCGUACAGCCCUGGGAUCAGGGGGUUCAGAAAUUAGGGGUGAAUUCAUACCAGUGAUCUGAAAAACAACCCUCAGGUUUCUCGUCUCUAAUGGACAGAAAAAUCAACUGCUAAGAGACUGUGAGGUAGCUCUGCAAGCCUUCCCCUCCCCCCACCCAUUGACAAAGAGACCUGUUUCCCUUCCUCCUUCCUUCCCUCCCUUUCCAUCCCUCCCUCUUUCUUACUCUCCUCUCUCUUUCUCCAUCUCUCUUUCUUCCUUCCUUUCAUCCAUUCCUGUCUUCUUUAUGCUCAGUCUCAUGUAGCUCAGGCUAGCCUUGAACUCACUAUGUAGUAGAGGAUAGCCCUCAACUUCCGAUCCUCUUGUCUCUACUUCCCUAGUGCAUGGACCCCCACUCCUAUUCCCUAGUGCUAGGGCCAGAGACCCACACUCCCAUGCCCAGUUUCUGAGGUGCUGGGCAUGCAGGUGAACAUUUGUAGCCAUUGAGCCUUGGCCUCAGUCUGUUUCCUGCUCCUUGACAGUUUUUCCAGUUAUUUUACACAAAUUCAGCAGUCAGUAACUGAAGGAGGAUAAGGACAACACAGUGGCCUUCAUGUUGCUGGCGUGUGGCACCGUGCUGACCGUCCUCUGGUUACGCCUCAGUAGUCACACUGCCUCUUCCACUGAAGGUUUGAAACACUCAAGACUUCACCCCCUGCAGAAUGGGUCUCAACCUUCAAAUUGCAGGGGCAUAGAGGUCUCUCCCUGCCAGGGAGACAGCUCAGAACUAUGUAGGCAGCAUGGCUGCCUUGCCCUAAAUACAUGACACUCUGACUUUCCGUGGUGGCUCGUGGUUGGAAAACGUUCCAUUAAAACAUUAGUAAAGUUCACUGUACCACAAAUCAGCUCUCCAAAAUGAACAAUUCAUUGGCGUUUGGUAGUUUUGCAAUGCCAGGCAAGCGCUCACUGUUGUCUUUAUGGUUCUGGAAGAUUCCAUUCUUCCAGUAAGAAGCUGGCACCCUGAGGUUGCUGCAUCCCACAUAUAAUGAAUGCAGUAGUGACUUACCUCAUCUCUGUGACAAAACAGCUGAGAAAAGCAGCUUAAGGGGGGGAAGGGCUUAUUCUGGCUUACAGUCUGAGGGGACACAGUCCAUUGUGGGGGAGGGGCUUAGUCUGGCUCACAGUCUGAGGGGAUACAUUCCAUCAUGGGAAAGGGCUUAUCCUAACUCACAGUCUGAUGGGGAUACAGCCCAUCAUGUGGGGGAGGGGCUUAUUCUGACUCACAGUCUAAGGGGAUACAGUCCACCAUGGGGAAAAUGGUUUAUUCUGGCUCACAGUCUGAGGGGAUACAGUCCAUCAUGUGGGGGAGGGGCUUAUUCUGGCUCACAGUCUAAGGGGAUAUAGUCCAUCAUGGUGGGGAAGGCAAGGCAGCAGGAGCGUGGGGCGGCUGUUCACAUGACACCCACAGUCAGGAAGCAGUGAGAGAUGGACGCUGGUGCUCAGCUCACGUUCUCCUUGUUAUUUAGUUCAGGAUCCCAGCUUGGUGACACUCACAGUGAAGAUGAAUCUUCUCACCUCAGUUAAUUUAGGCGAUCCCUCACAGGCAUGCCCUGUCUCCUAGGCAAUCUUAGAUCCUGUCAAGUUGACAGUCCACAUUAACCUUCCCACCAUGUAAUGUGCCUUUUAUCUGCCAUUUCUUUCUUCUUGUUUACUGUACCUACCACCUCUGGAAAACUCUUGACACAGAGCUCUUAUGUCAUCAGCUGGAGCAAUCCCAACUAACCCCUGAUGUCAUAAUAGAUUUUAAAAAAAAACCCAGGACAUAGAAUGUGGUGACACAGAUCUGCAAUGCCAGCCCUUGGGAGGCUGAGUCAGAAGGGUUGUGAGCUCAGAGCUCGCCUGCUCUACACAGCAAGACUUUAUCUUAGAAAAAACAAAACCCUUCAAAGCUGGACAACACAGACUGGUCCCUUUGUAACCCAAGGAACCAGAUUUUAACACAAAGAGACUAUGGUGUGUCGGGGGGAACACAAGCAGAGUUGACAGACUUGAGAUCCGGGUGGUGGUGAGCUUUGAAGACCCAUUACCGUGAAGUAGGAUGUUCUCCGUGACACAGAUGGAUGUGAGCACCGUGCCGGCCAGCCCGAAGGAUGGAGGUUGUGGAUAAUGCCAAAACUUCUGCUUCGGACACUGGAAAAAUCGGAGAUGCGGCAGCGUGGGGAAAUUGAAAGCAGGGGGUGAUGGGAGCCUGAAAGUGGAUCCCAGCCUUGGCAUGGAGUUUCCUCUCCUGUCUUGGCUGAGGUGACUUCUCCCAGUGUCCCUUGGCAAACAGUGCCCUCUGACUUCAUCCGUGGACCGGAGCCUCUCCAGUGACCAAAAAAGGGGAGGGGAUUAGGUGUAAAUGCAUUCUCUUUGCUUUGGGCUGAGCACCUUCCGGGGCCUUUCUUAGGUUGGAGCACAGUUCUGAACAUCUUGUCGAAAGCCCGGGAACCCUGGAAGCAGGGAGGAACUAAGUUAAGAUGCAGUAUACUUGAGGACCUCUGAUUAGAGCACACCAGGUACUCAAAUCUCCCAAUGUCUUCUACUGAAAAUCACACACACGCACCAACAUUAAUCUACACAGAUGUGUCUAGGAAAGGUUUAUUUUUAUUUAUUUAUUUACUUUUCAGAAAAGCUGAGCCCAAAAGGACCCUUUAACUCUUGCAUGAAAGAGAAAGAAAGAUUUUUUUUCCCCCUAACGUAUUUCUUUGAAAAAUACUAUUUAGUUCAAUUCUUGGCAUCUGGUGAAUUACAAUGCUGCUGGUUAAAACCAGGACCUAUACAGUUGAAAUACAUGCCUCCCAGUGAGACGAACUAGCUUUCUGCUGCUUGGAGACUUACCAUGACAUCUUGACCAAGUCUUGCUGAUAAUAAACUGAGCCUGAAUCAGUGACGUCUCUCCAUUCAAUACCAGCUUGCCCUGCAGGCAGAGGACAGAGGAGCUCUCGGAGACUGAGGUAGCAGCUGCAGAUUCUACACUGUGGAUGGAUAGACUGAGAGAAACAGCCAUCAUCCUUCAAGAUGGGGCUCCAAGUAAGAAAGGCACUAAGCUCGAAGCAAAGACAAACACACUUACAGCUAAUCCCCUUCCUCUUCUGGCCACUGGAAAGGCCCUGGUCCAUGGAUGAAGUCAGAAGAACUUGGUUGCCAAGAAAUACUUGGGGAAGUCACCUCUGCCAAGACAGGAGGGGAAACUCUCCUCCAAGAAACUACUUUUUGCUUUUGAGUCAGGGUCUUACAAGGUAGCCCAGGCUGUUCUCAACCUCACCAUCCUGUGGCUUCAACUCUCGAGUGCUGGGAUUAUGGCUAAGAACCACCAUGUCUGGCUGAGGCUGAUAUUUACUGCAAGCUGAAGCGGAGGGUUGAUCAUAGGGAUAGAGAAGAGCACAGAGGGGCUCUCUGUGUCUGUCACGUGUCAAUGUGGAUUCUUCUGCCAGCCGGGGUUUUGCAGUGGACAAGAGAGACAACACCCUUUUGUCAAGGGACUCCUGGGCCAGAGCUGCGGAUCUGGAUGAGGAACUCUCCGCUCCUUCUCCAGUACCGUGUCUGCUCGCAUGCUGCCCUGCUCCCUGCCAUGAUAACUCACUAAACCUCUGAAACUAGCCAACACAAGGAAAAGACACAGAGCUGAGACCUAAUGACCCAGCUGUGCAAAGCAUGGAAGCAUUGACUUACUCGAGGGCAGAGAUGAGUCCCAAACGGACAGAGACAAGAGACAAACGGAUGAGGUGUAGGUGGCUGGAGGGGAAGAUGGAGGAGUGGGCAUGGCCUUGGUGCUUUUCUGUCUGGAGACCCCCAAGGCCUUCCUUGCUUCUCUCCACUGCCUAAGUGGUGGGUGAGCCCCUGGUCCUACUGAGAGAGCCCUUCUCAAAAGACCUGGAACUUUCCACUCAACCCACUUUUAGGAAAGAAAAUGGGACAGUUGUAGUCCAUUCCACUGGUUGAAUGCCCAAGUCAAGUAAGUAACUAGAAGCAUUAUUUAAGCAAAUAAACAACAAUAUUUGUAUUCAGCUAUCACCCCUUCAGUCUCUCAUGAGAGGAAGCACCCAAGGGACUGCUCUGGACAGUGAGUUUACCAGUCAGCAUGGUCACAGGGCAGGGCUUGGGACAUCUGCAUGGGAACAAAGCCUUUACCUAUUGAUUGAUUGAUUGAUUGAUAUAUAUAGAUUGAUUGAUUGAUAUAGAAUCUCACUAUGUAGCCCUGACUAACCUAGAACCCACCAUGGAGACCAGGCUGGUCUUGAACUCUCAGAGAUCUGCCUACCUCCCAAGUUCUGGGAUUAAUAUGUGAUAUGUACACCACCAAGCCCAAUUACAUUUUUUUAAAUAGAAAACAUUUCUAUGCUUGUUUGUCUUUUUAAAAAUGAAAACAAAAGAUGGUGGGCUGCUCCUGAGGGGAGAUACCUGAGACUGUUGUCUGGCCUCGGCACAAAUUUAUGCACACACAUGUGCAUGCAAAAGGUGUACCUCAGCACACACACACACAUGCACACACACACACAUACACACACAUACACACAUACACACACAUACACAUACACACAUACAUACACACAUACACACAUACAUACACACACAUACACACAUACACACACAUACACAUACACACAUACAUACACACAUACACACAUACAUACACACACAUACACACAUACACACACAUACACAUACACACAUACACAUACAUACACACACAUACACACAAUCAUACACACACAUGCAUACACAUACACACAUACACACAUAUACACACAUAUACACACAUACACAUACACAUACAUACACACAUACACACACACAACAACAGAAAUACAAGCAACCAGAAGACUCUUCUUGUCUCAUAGUGGAGGCAGUCAGAAGCCCCUUAUGCAGAAGCCUCAACGUGUUUGUUUUUUGCACAGACCUACACACAGAAGGGGAUAGAUUGGGCGUGUUCUUCCAUGUUCUUUCUCUAACAGGAGAGCCACCCUUUGCCUCUCCAGGAGUGGCCUGUGGUGCCCAGCAUGGCGGGGCAGACCUUUGGCUUGUGUUCAUGUCUCUCUAGUCAACGUCUGGGGUCACAGGAAGAUGUAAGUCACUGGACUUAGGGCACACCCUAAACCCAGCGACAUGCCCUAGAGUCUUCGUGACCAUUUUAAUGACCUUAUCUUCAAAUAAGAUGACGUCUCCAGGUACCAGGCCUGGAAUUCAAACCUCUGGGGAGGCACAUGUCAACGCUCAGCUGUGCCUGAUGUGGGGAUUGGUGUGGCUAUUUGAUAGACUCUGGAAAGGCUGCGGAAACAGAGUAAACAGCCAGCCAGCCUGGGAGCCUGGUGUAAGCAGGGAAGAGACACUGACAUUGCUGAGAUUCAAGUUCCCAACUCCCUGUGCGGGUUGCACACGCUCACGCUCAUGCUUGUCCGCCAUGCCUACCUCGGCUCUGGAGUGACGCAGGGCGGGUGCCACGGAUUGGACCCUGGGACCCAUCCUCGCUCCCCCUCCGCCCUUUCCUGGUCCCCCUAGGCCAUGCUGCGGUGAGGUCCAGGCCUCCAUUUAUGAGUUGUGACCGCUGUGGUUAAUUCUCUUAAUCUAGACUUGCUUGUCCAUAAAACACAGGCCUUGGGUAUUGGGUUUCCGUGAUCAAAGGGCUGCGUGUGGGGGCGCUGCCCAGGAGGGCUUGACCAGGCUCAUAAACACAGUGCGGGACACACACACACACACACACACACACACACACACACACACACACACACAACGGCCCCAGUAUGGGGGUCAUGGGUGGCCGGGUGAUUCCGUGUGAAUAUCACUGAGGCUUCCAUGUUGCCCGGGGGAUUUACGGCCUGGUAUUGCUCUGCCCUGCUUAAUGUGUUGACCUUUGCACCCCGGUAAUUCGGGGGACGGAGCCAGUGGGGCCGGAAGCUAAUUCCAGGGAUUAAUGCAGAAGGCACCUCAGCAUUGGUAAGUGUCAGGGGCCUUUAAGCUCUGGCCAGAUGGCCUGGGCUGUCC